UACGAAGGGGGCUAGCGUUACUCGGAUUGACUGGGCGUAAAGGGCGCGUAGGCGGCUUGUACAGUCAGACGUGAAAUUCCUGGGCUCAACCUGGGGGCUGCGUUUGAUACGUGCGAGCUUGAGUUCGGAAGAGGGUCGUGGAAUUCCCAGUGUAGAGGUGAAAUUCGUAGAUAUUGGGAAGAACACCGGUGGCGAAGGCGGCGACCUGGUCCGAUACUGACGCUGAGGCGCGAAAGCGUGGGGAGCAAACAGG
rnacentral:rRNA from 1 species